UAACCAAAACCAACACCUACCUACUUUUACAUGCGACAUGCAACUGUUUCAUUACAGUUUUGUUUAUAAACUGGUUGCUUUAAACGCUGUAAAUUCACCACAAUGCUACCAACCAGCUCUGAUAUAUGAUUAUUAUUAUUGUUAUUGAAAAGUUGCUGUCGUAAAAUAUUUGUUCAAAAUAUUAUAUCUCUCUUCCAAUAUAUGUAUCCUUACAGGCAAGCAGAACAACGGGGUAGCUAUUAAGUAGAUCAAAUGUUUGGAAAUAUACUUAUCGGGAAAAAGAAUUAGGCAAGCAUGAUUUGUAGUCUUUCCACGAAAUGCAUUGCUUCUACAGCAGAUAAAAAUUGGGGCAUUAAUAAUUUCGACGAGACUCCAAUAUUUAAAUAGUCGAAGGAAAAGAACUGAUUUUGCAUUCUAUGUAUUACCUGAGCAGCUUAUUAAGCUGCAUUGUUUUUAAGCCAAUAUCAUCUACCAAACACCUGCAUCUAGUUCUUGGUCUCAGAAAGAUAUUCUCGACACAUUUCCCAGUGGCACUUACUUGUUGAUCCAAUUUCAUUUUUCGGGCGAUGGGAAUUGGGACGGCUGAAACGGAGUCGUCUCCAUUUCCAGACACUGUCAUUCUGUGCAAGAACAAGGAGGUGAACAAGAGAACAAAAGCAACACUUUUGACAUUUGGGAAGGAAGCAACUCUGUAAUUUUAACUAUUAAUGGGAACUUUCUCUGGUGAAGUAUGUACGUAUUUACGACUAACCGCAGUUUUUUAUGUCAAGC